UACGGGGGGGGGCAAGCGUUGUUCGGAAUUACUGGGCGUAAAGGGCUCGUAGGCGGCCAACUAAGUCGGAUGUGAAAUCCCCAGGCUUAACCUGGGAACUGCAUCCGAUACUGGAUGGCUUGAAUCCGGGAGAGGGAUGCGGAAUUCCAGGUGUAGCGGUGAAAUGCGUAGAUAUCUGGAGGAACACCGGUGGCGAAGGCGGCAUCCUGGACCGGUAUUGACACUGAGGCGCGAAAGCCAGGGGAGCAAACGGG
rnacentral:rRNA from 1 species